AGACUCCCCGCACUCACCUGCUGGAUUCCAUUGCCCAGAGUUCACAGAUUUUCCCAGCUCUCAUCCUCCCAAAUAGGCGUCAGUAAGGACAGAGAGCACGCCUCAUUCGAGAUGCCUAGAGCCCCAGGAAACCUGGAGGAAGGACAUUCAUGGGUGCUGCAGCCAGGACCCCGCUUGGCACUGGUUACCGAGAAAUCUCCCUGCAGCAGAGGCAGAGGCCAAAAACAACAGAAACUGAGUUACAGGAGCCUCGGCGAGUAGUCUCCUGAGACGCCACCAUCUCCUGGAAAAUUCUCCUCAGGAGUUUACGAGACAAAUACAAAUAUAUACUAGAUGAAGUU